GCAUAUCAAUAAGCGGAGGAAAAGAAAAUAACAAUGAUUCCCUUAGUAACGGCGAGUGAAGGGGGAAAAGCUCAAAUUUUAAAUCUGCUAGGUUUUACUUAUCAGAAUUGUAAUUUGAAGAAGCGUUUUCCGCGUCUCGGUUGGCCCAAAUCCUUUGGGAUAAGGUAUCAUGGAGGGUGAGAAUCCCGUUCGGUUGACCUUAUGACGCUCUACGAUACGCUCUCUAAGAGUCGAGUUGUUUGGGAUUGCAGCUCAAAAUGGGAGGUAAAUUUCUCCUAAGGCUAAAUAUCGGCGAGAGACCGAUAGCGAACAAGUACCGUGAGGGAAAGAUGAAAAGAACUUUGAAAAGAGAGUUAAAUAGUACGUGAAAUUGUUGAAAGGGAAACGAUUGAAGCCAGUCGUACCUGCGGGUAAUCAGCCUUUUGGGCAUGAUUCUGUGGAGCGUGAGGAGUUGAACGCCUUCAUGCCUGCAUAUUCGUGUACUUUGGGUGUACUUGCCUGUGUGGUUAGUUAACAUCAAUUUUGGUUAUCAUAAAAUGGCUGGAGGAAUGUAGCUUCGAUUUCGAUUGAAGUGUUAUAGCCUUCGGCAGAUGUGAUGAUCGGGAUUGAGGAUUGCAACGGAUACCCUUCGGGGCUACCUGUCUGAUCUCUGAUCGUUGCUCUGGUGCCGAAAGCGUGCUUACGGUUAUCAAAGUCGAUGGUUAAUAGGUUAGAACGGGUUAAAUUCGUUAAGGAUGUUGACGUA
rnacentral:rRNA from 1 species